AUGUCAUUUCCGGAUUUUCCGGAAAGUUUGAUUGCGGAAAUUAUAAAUGACUUGCUUGACAGCUGACAUGAAACAAAAACAAAAAACAGUUUCCAAUAAUGUCUCUCGCAAAAUUUUAAUGAAAUUACUACAUAACAAAGUUUGGUUUUCUUAAUUAGGUGACUUAUAAGCACUGAGCGAUAUUAUUGCAUGCCGUAGAAUGCCUAUCACGAGCGUUUAGGUCUUUUGUCACUUAUAUUAAUUCAUUGCAGCAAAUGGAGGUGGACUUACACGACACUUUCUUGCGUGACGAGGAUCAGCAAUCACAACACAGCUCGAAACAAACAUAUUCAGUGCCAAAUAAAAGAAAAAAUGACAAACUACAGGACGAUAAAGCAGUAACUGAACAACAAGCUAAGGAGGAAAAGGAACAAGCUGAAAAUAUAGCUUCAAUGUUGAUGCGUAAUUAUGACACCAAGUUAUAUGGCGAGGAUGACACAUCACAGCCAACAUCACGUACUGCACCUAUUAUACCUAUAGAAGCUUCUCGGAAGAAAAAGAAAAGAAGGAGAUCACAAAUUUCAAUAUGUCUAACAAACUGCCGAUAUGAGUCAAUACGAAAAGUUGCUAGUGCUUUCGGAAUGCGAGAAGUAUCUGAAGAAGAUGCUUGGAAUUUUUACUGGACUGACAUGAGUGUUUCUGUGGAGAGGGCUAAAGAGAUGAAGAGGUUUCAGCGCAUAAACCAUUUUCCUGGAAUGUUAGAAAUCUGCAGAAAGGACUUGUUAGCACGGAAUUUAAAUAGAAUGCAGAAAAUUUAUCCAAAAGAGUAUAAUUUUUUCCCAAAAACUUGGUGCUUGCCUGCAGAUUUUGGUGAAGCGUUGAACUAUAGCAAAUCAAGAAAAAAUAAAACUUUCAUAAUAAAACCGGAAUGUGGAAGUCAGGGAAGGGGUAUCUAUUUGACGAAGUCGCUUAAAGAUAUUAAACCUACAGACAAACUUAUCUGUCAGGUGUAUCUUUCCAAACCAUACUUGGUGGAUGGCUAUAAGUUCGACAUCCGAGUCUACACUCUUAUAACGUCGUGCGACCCCCUCAGAAUUUUUGUGUACAACGAAGGACUUGUAAGGUUUGCAACAAGCCGGUAUGCGGAUCCUAACGUGAACAACACGACCAAUGUGUUCAUGCAUCUCACAAACUACGCGCUGAACAAACACAGCCGCACCUACGUGUAUGAUUCUGAGGCGGGGAGUAAACGCAAGAUAUCGACUUUGAACAAGAUCCUGUUGUCGCAAGGAGUGGACUUAGACAGGCUGUGGCAUGCCAUCGACCAAGUCAUCGUCAAGACGAUAAUAUCUGCGUGGCCGAUACUCAAGCAUAGUUACCACGCGUGUUUCCCCUCGCAUGACAUGGUACAUGCUUGCUUCGAAAUACUCGGUUUUGAUAUUCUUCUGGAUCACAAGCUACAUCCCUAUAUAUUGGAAGUGAAUCAUUCGCCAAGUUUCCACACGGAUACUCAAUUGGACCGUGAGGUGAAGGAAGGCCUGCUGACAGACACGUUCACUAUGCUGAACAUAUGGCAGUGUGACAAGCGCAGGGUGCUGGAGGAGGACCGCAAGAGGAUACGAGAUAGGCUCCUACAAACUAACAAGUUCGCAGAAUUCACACCAGCAGAAGAGAAAGAACCGGAGAAGAGUCCGUGGCAGACACAAAUACAGUGGGAGGAAACACACCUGGGAAACUUUAGACGCGUGUACCCGGUUGGCGAGCAGUACGCGUCGCUGUUCCAGCAGCCGUCGGGCUCGCUGUACACGGGCACGGCCUCCUCGCGGGCCCGCGGGGACUGCACAAGGCUGCAGCGGGAGGAGUUCCAGCAAACGAAAGCCAAAGCGGAAGCUCUCAAGAAACCAUCGCAACCCAAAGCUACAAAAGAAGGCGAAAAGAAACCCAGCGAAGACGGUGCAACCACGAUAACGGCAGUCACUACCACAACGACUACUACCGAAAAGACCGGUAAAACUAAAUCUCGCACGGACAGAGAACAGAAACGCAAGGAGAAAGAUGAGAAGGACAAGAAGCUUACCAACAAACCUUCGCUUUCACUACAACCGGUACCCGAGAAAGAGUCCAAGCCUACGUACGUGCUGUGUUCAUUCGAGCCUGAUCCUAUAGUGGAGAAAGAGGAACGAGAAAGAGUCAACCUAUUGGCGCAGAGAGAUUUCCUCAUCAGGAGCUACGGCAUGUUAGAACAGAUUUAUUUAGUCAUGAAAAAAAUGGGAACACUGAGGCCAGAAGAUGAACGUAAAUAUGGUGUCUACGGACGACUGUCAGUGGUUUCUAACUCCCCCAAGGAUUACAAGUGCAAUGCCGCGACGUAGUCAUAUGGAAGCGGCCGUCGCCUCUGGAAGAUAUUCCGGAACGAACUACCAAAGCGCACAUCGUCCGCACCGCUUACACCGUUUGGAAGAUGAAUUCAUUAGUUUCACUACCGCUGCCCAAGUAAAGUGAAACAGAGUGAUUGAUUCGACAUUUGCGACGCUCCUGUGUCGUCGUAGUGUUCAAGAGACUGUCUUAUAUAAAGUUUGCUCAUAGAGCGCGUGUUAACCAAAUAUAGUCGUAACUAUUUCGAUACUAUUAUGAUUAUUGUAUACUGCUACUUAUGACAGUUAUUAGCUUGCCAUAUAUCUCAAUUACACAUAAGAUUUAUUUUUAUAUUGUAAUUGCUAACGUGUUCAUAUUUAAUCAUGAUAAUUUUAACAUUACCGAUACUUAUAAUUAGAGUAAUUUUGUCAAUGUUAUGUAAAUUCUGGUGCAUAGAAAAAUAAGCAAUAACUGAAAGAUAAAUAUUACUAUAACUGUAUUCUUAUUUUU
rnacentral:misc_RNA from 1 species